rnacentral:rRNA from 1 species
AUGAAGGUGUGUUGAGAAGCAUGCUGGAGGUAUCAGAAGUGCGAAUGCUGACGUGAGUAACGACAAAACGGGUGAAAAACCCGUUCGCCGAAAGACCAAGGGUUCCAGUCCAACGUUAAUCGGGGCUGGGUGAGUCGACCCCUAAGGCGAGGCCGAAAGGCGUAGUCGAUGGGAAAAUGGUUAAUAUUCCAUUACUUCUGUGUAAUGCGAUGAGAGGACGGAGAAGG